rnacentral:rRNA from 1 species
AGCGAACGCUGGCGGCAGGCCUAAAACAUGCAAGUCGAACGCCCUAGCAAUAGGGAGUGGUAGACGGGUGAGUAACACGUGGGAACGUGCCUUUUGGUUCGGAACAACACAGGGAAACUUGUGCUCAUACCGGAUCAGCCCUUACGGGGAAAGAUUUAGCGCCAAAAGAUCGGCCCGCGUCUGAUUAGCUAGUUGGUGGGGUAACGGCCCACCAAGGCUACGAUCAGUAGCUGGUCUGAGAGGAUGAUCAGCCACACUGGGACUGAGACACGGCCCAGACUCCUACGGGAGGCAGCAGUUAGGAAUCUUGGACAAUGGGCGAAAGCCUGAUCCAGCCAUGCCGCGUGAGUGAUGAAGGCCUUAGGGUUGUAAAGCUCUUUCAGCGGGGAAGAUAAUGACGGUACCCGCAGAAGAAGCCCCGGCUAACUUCGUGCCAGCCGCCGCGGUAACAC